CCCUUUUGUUUGAUCAUGGCUCAGAGCGAACGCUGGCGGCAGGCCUAACACAUGCAAGUCGAACGAACUCUUCGGAGUUAGUGGCGGACGGGUGAGUAACACGUGGGAACGUGCCUUUAGGUUCGGAAUAACUCAGGGAAACUUGUGCUAAUACCGAAUGUGCCCUUCGGGGGAAAGAUUUAUCGCCUUUAGAGCGGCCCGCGUCUGAUUAGCUAGUUGGUGAGGUAAAGGCUCACCAAGGCGACGAUCAGUAGCUGGUCUGAGAGGAUGAUCAGCCACAUUGGGACUGAGACACGGCCCAAACUCCUACGGGAGGCAGCAGUGGGGAAUCUUGCGCAAUGGGCGAAAGCCUGACGCAGCCAUGCCGCGUGAAUGAUGAAGGUCUUAGGAUUGUAAAAUUCUUUCACCGGGGACGAUAAUGACGGUACCCGAGAGAGCCC
rnacentral:rRNA from 1 species